rnacentral:rRNA from 1 species
GACGAACGCUGGCGGCGUGCUUAACACAUGCAAGUCGAACGGAAAGGCCCUGCUUGUGUGGGGUGCUCGAGUGGCGAACGGGUGUGUAACACGUGAGUAACCUGCCCUUGACUUUGGGAUAACUUCAGGAAACUGGGGCUAAUACCGGAUAGGAGCUCCUGCUGCAUGGUGGGGGUUGGAAAGUUUCGGCGGUUGGGGAUGGACUCGCGGUUUAUCAGCUUGUGGGUGGGGUAGUGGCUUACCAAGGCUUUGACGGGUAGCCGGCCUGAGAGGGUGACCGGCCACAUUGGGACUGAGAUACGGCCCAGACUCCUACGGGAGGCAGCAGUGGGGAAUAUUGCACAAUGGGCGGAAGCCUGAUGCAGCAACGCCGGGUGCGGGAUGACGGCCUUCGGGUUGUAAACCGCUUUCGCCUGUGACGAAGCGUGAGUGACGGUAAUGGGUAAAGAAGCACCGGCUAACUACGUG